rnacentral:rRNA from 1 species
ACGGGGCGCAGCAGGCGCGAAACCUUUACAAUGCGGGCAACCGUGAUAAGGGAACCUCGGGUGCCUGUAAACGCAGGCUGUUCAGGUGUUUAAAACGCACCUGGAGAAAGGGCCGGGCAAGACCGGUGCCAGCCGCCGCGGUAAUACCGGCGGCUCGAGUGGUGGCCGCUUUUAUUGGGCUUAAGGCGUUCGUAGCUGGGUUGUUAAGUCUCUUGGGAAAUCUGGCGGCUUAACCGUCAGGCGUCUAAGGGAUACUGGCAAUCUUGGAACCGGGAGAGGUGAGGGGUACUUCGGGGGUAGGGGUGAAAUCCUGUAAUCCUCGAGGGACCACCUGUGGCGAAGGCGCCUCACCAGAACGGCUUCGACAGUGAGGGACGAAAGCUGGGGGAGCAAACCGGAUUAGAUACCCGGGUAGUCCCAGCCGUAAACGAUGCGCGUUAGGUGUAUCGGUGACCACGAGUUACCGAGGUGCCGAAGGGAAACCGUGAAACGCGCCGCCUGGGAAGUACGGUCGCAAGGCUGAAACUUAAAGGAAUUGGCGGGGGAGCACA